CUAUAGCGAUAACAAUAUAGAUGCAAAUACACGCAAUUACACAAAUUCCAGAGAUAUGCAUAUGAUGUAUUUCGCACAGUUUCACCAUUUUUUAACAAAUGCGUUAUGUUGGUAACCCUGAUAUAUUCUAAAGUAACAUUACCCACCAGCUACGCUAUUUAUAAAUGGAGCCGUUAGAAACCCAAAAUAAAAAAAAAAACAAAGAGAUCUAUGUUUAUUAAUUGUUAUUUUAUAAAAUGUAAAAAUGUUAUCGUAUCGUACAAAUACUUAAGAUUAUUCUAUUUUAAUAUUUACAAUAAUACAACAAAAAAAUACAGAAACAUUUUUUUAAAUAUU